GACGAACCGUGCGAACGUUGUUCGGAAUCACUGGGCUUAAAAGGGCGCGUAGGCGGCCGGCCAAGUCGGGGGUGAAAGCCUGUGGCUCAACCACAGAAUGGCCCUCGAUACUGGCUGGCUCGAGACCGGAAGAGGUUGGUGGAAUUGCGAGUGUAGAGGUGAAAUUCGUAGAUAUUCGCAAGAACACCGGUGGCGAAGGCGGCCAACUGGUCCGGAUCUGGACGCUGAGGCGCGAAAGCGUGGGGAGCAAACAGG
rnacentral:rRNA from 1 species